AACGAACGCUGGCGGCAGGCUUAACACAUGCAAGUCGAACGCAUCGCAAGAUGGGUGGCAGACGGGUGAGUAACGCGUGGGAACAUACCCUUUUCUACGGAAUAGCUCUGGGAAACUGGAAUUAAUACCGUAUACGCCCUACGGGGGAAAGACUUCUCGGGGAAGGAUUGGCCCGCGUUGGAUUAGCUAGUUGGUGGGGUAAAGGCCUACCAAGGCGACGAUCCAUAGCUGGUCUGAGAGGAUGAUCAGCCACAUUGGGACUGAGACACGGCCCAAACUCCUACGGGAGGCAGCAGUGGGGAAUAUUGGACAAUGGGCGCAAGCCUGAUCCAGCCAUACCGCGUGAGUGAUGAAGGCCUUAGGGUUGUAAAGCUCUUUCACCGAUGAAGAUAAUGACGGUAGUCGGAGAAGAAGCCCCGGCUAACUUCGUGCCAGCCGCCGCGGUAACAC
rnacentral:rRNA from 1 species